rfam:Bacteroides helcogenes P 36-108, complete genome.
GGGCUUGACUGGAUUUGACAGCGGGCAGAAAUGGUAAGUAAGCAUGCAGUGCGUUGUUGAUUUGCACUUAAAUCUCAGUCUUCAAAAUUUUAUCUGGCGAAAACAAUUACGCUCUUGCUGCUUAAUCGAAUCACAGUAGAUUAGCUUAAUCCCGGCACAAGGUGCUGGGACGGGACAUCACUCGGAAGCUGUUGCUCCGAAGCAUUCCGGUAAAGUGGUGCAGUUACAUCGGGGAUAGUUUGCACUUGCCUUGAAGUGCGAAUGAAAUUUAGAGGAUAAGGUGACGGUUGAUGGCUUUGGUUCUGCCGCCACACGAAAACUUAGGCAAAGAUAAGCAUGUAGAAAGCUUAUGAUUUCCUCGUUUGGACGAGGGUUCGAUUCCCUCCAGGUCCACGU